GUUAGGAAUUUUGCGCAAUGGGGGAAACCCUGACGCAGCAACGCCGCGUGAAGGAUGAAGGCUUUCGGGUUGUAAACUUCUUUAGGCAGGAAAGAACACAAUGACGGUACCUGCAGAAUAAGCACCGGCUAACUCUGUGCCAGCAGCCGCGGUAAUACAGAGGGUGCAAGCGUUAUUCGGAAUUACUGGGCAUAAAGAGCGCGUAGGCGGUUCGAUAAGUCUGAUGUGAAAUCCCUGGACUCAAUUCAGGAAGUGCAUCGGAUACUGUCGGACUUGAGUAUAGGAGGGGAGAGCGGAAUUCCUGGUGUAGAGGUGAAAUUCGUAGAUAUCAGGAGGAACAACAGUGGCGAAGGCGGCUCUCUGGACUAUUACUGACGCUGAGGCGCGAAAGCGUGGGGAGCAAACAGGAUUAGAAACCCCUGUAGUCC
rnacentral:rRNA from 1 species